rnacentral:lncRNA from 1 species
UUCCUUCUUGGCAAUACAAAUUAUGUAAAUUUAUCUUAUGCUACAUUAAGAUAAAAUCAUAUUGCAUUUAUAAAACCUGGAAAAAGCUAGUACUAUUAAUAUGUGAAGUCUCAUAUUCGUGUCAACUCCGUAUUUCUAGACAUCUUUAAUAACAACAUAUAAAAACUAUUUCUUAUACCGGAAGAAAAUGUUAAAACGGCAUUCUCUUGCAUAUUUUCUUCAUGCAUGCCAAAGGGUAUUCAUGGUGUGUACAUGACUACAUUUCUAAAAGCAAGCAGACAAUUCGUGUCGGUUUUAGCCUUCUUUCUCUUGAUUGGACUCCCCCCAAAACUUACAAGUUUAACCAAUUUAUUACUUGAGUACUCAUUUAGAUAUCGAACUCUCCUACAUAUAUAUAUAU